rnacentral:rRNA from 1 species
UACGGGGGGAGCAAGCGUUGUUCGGAUUUACUGGGCGUAAAGGGCGCGUAGGCGGUCGUGACAAGUCACUUGUGAAAUCUCCGGGCUUAACUCGGAACGGUCAAGUGAUACUGAUCGGACUAGAGUACAGAAGGGGCAACUGGAAUUCUCGGGUGUAGCGGUGAAAUGCGUAGAGUAUCGAGAGGGAACACCUGCGGCGAAGGCGGGAUU